GACGAACGCUGGCGGCGUGCUUAACACAUGCAAGUCGAGCGGUAAGGCCCUUUCGGGGUACACGAGCGGCGAACGGGUGAGUAACACGUGGGUGACCUGCCCUCAGCUCUGGGAUAAGCCUGGGAAACUGGGUCUAAUACCGGAUAUGACUCCAUGACGCAUGUUGUGGGGUGGAAAGCCUUGUGCGGCUGAGGAUGGGCCCGCGGCCUAUCAGCUUGUUGGUGGGGUGAGGCCUACCAAGGCGACGACGGUAGCCGGCCUGAGAGGCGACCGGCCACACUGGGACUGAGACACGGCCCAGACUCCUACGGGAGGCAGCAGUGGGGAAUCUUGCGCAAUGGGCGAAAGCCUGACGCAGCG
rnacentral:rRNA from 1 species